AGUGAACGCUGGCGGUAGGCCUAACACAUGCAAGUCGAACGGCAGCGCAGUAAGCGCUUGCUCUUACGGGUGGCGAGUGGCGGACGGGUGAGGAAUACAUCGGAAUCUACUUUUUCGUGGGGGAUAACGUAGGGAAACUUACGCUAAUACCGCAUACGACCUACGGGUGAAAGCAGGGGAUCUUCGGACCUUGCGCGAUUGAAUGAGCCGAUGUCGGAUUAGCUAGUUGGCGGGGUAAAGGCCCACCAAGGCGACGAUCCGUAGCUGGUCUGAGAGGAUGAUCAGCCACACUGGAACUGUGACACGGUCCAGACUCCUACGGGAGGCAGCAGUGGGGAAUAUUGGACAAUGGGCGCAAGCCUGAUCCAGCCAUACCGCGUGGGUGAAGAAGGCCUUCGGGUUGUAAAGCCCUUUUGUUGGGAAAGAAAAGCAGCAGGUUAAUACCCCGCUGUUCUGACGGUACCCAAAGAAUAAGCACCGGCUAACUUCGUG
rnacentral:rRNA from 1 species